CAGCAGCCACGGUAAUACGUAGGUGGCAAGCGUUGUCCGGAAUUAUAGGGCGUAAAGGGCUCGCAGGCGGUUUCUUAAGUCUGAUGUGAAAGCCCCCGGCUCAACCGGGGAGGGUCAUUGGAAACUGGGAAACUUGAGUGCAGAAGAGGAGAGUGGAAUUCCACGUGUAGCGGUGAAAUGCGUAGAGAUGUGGAGGAACACCAGUGGCGAAGGCGACUCUCUGGUCUGUAACUGACGCUGAGGAGCGAAAGCGUGGGGAGCGAACAGGAUUAGAUACCCGCGUAGUCCCUGUCUCUUAUAC
rnacentral:rRNA from 1 species